rnacentral:rRNA from 1 species
ACGCAAACGCCGCGGAGGCGGAGCAAAUCCGAAAAAGCCGGUCUCAGUUCGGAUUGCAGGCUGCAAUUCGCCUGCAUGAAGUCGGAAUCGCUAGUAAUCGCAGGUCAGCAUACUGCGGUGAAUUACCGGUUCCCGGGCCUU